ACUCUUGUAGCUCAGUUGGUUAGAGCACCUGUUUAGUAAGCGGGAGGAAUUUGAGUUCAACUCUCAACAAGAGCA
rnacentral:tRNA from 1 species